ACGAAGGGGGCUAGCGUUGCUCGGAAUCACUGGGCGUAAAGCGCACGUAGGCGGAUCUUUAAGUCAGGGGUGAAAUCCCGAGGCUCAACCUCGGAACUGCCUUUGAUACUGGGGAUCUCGAGUCCGGAAGAGGUUGGUGGAACUCCGAGUGUAGAGGUGAAAUUCGUAGAUAUUCGGAAGAACACCAGUGGCGAAGGCGGCCAACUGGUCCGGUACUGACGCUGAGGUGCGAAAGCGUGGGGAGCAAACAG
rnacentral:rRNA from 1 species